rnacentral:rRNA from 1 species
GGUUCAGGAUGAACGCUAGCUACAGGCUUAACACAUGCAAGUCGAGGGGCAGCAUUGGAGUAGCAAUACUCAGAUGGCGACCGGCGCACGGGUGAGUAACACGUAUCCAACCUGCCGCUUACUCGGGGAUAGCCUUUCGAAAGAAAGAUUAAUACCCGAUGGUAUAAAGAGUUCGCAUGUUCUCUUUACUAAAGAAUUUCGGUAAGCGAUGGGGAUGCGUUCCAUUAGAUUGUUGGCGGGGUAACGGCCCACCAAGUCUACGAUGGAUAGGGGUUCUGAGAGGAAGGUCCCCCACAUUGGAACUGAGACACGGUCCAAACUCCUACGGGAGGCAGCAGUGAGGAAUAUUGGUCAAUGGACGAGAGUCUGAACCAUCCAAAAGUAGCGUGAAGGAUGACUGCCCUAUGGGUUGUAAACUUCUUUUAUAAGGGAAUAAAGUGAGGGACGUGUCCCUUUUUGUAUGUACCUUAUGAAUAAGGAUCGGCUAACUCCGUGCCAGCCGCCGC